CACCUCUCAGGGUCGCACCUGGAGAGUUUCCAGUCCUCUACCAGUCUUGGAUACAGGAGGGAGCGUCAAGCAGAGGCCUACCCAUUCCAUUCCUAGAUUGGGCAGUGGCUAGCGAGUGGAAGGCAAUCUGCUACAGAC